GCGGGUGUGGCGGAACUGGUAGACGCACUGGAUUUAGGUUCCAGCGCCGCAAGGCGUGGAGGUUCAAGUCCUCUCACCCGCA
rnacentral:tRNA from 1 species